rnacentral:rRNA from 1 species
AACACAUGCAAGUCGUGCGAGAAAGGGACUUCGGUCCUGAGUAGAGCGGCGCACGGGUGAGUAACGGCGUGGGUGAUCUCCCUUGGUGAUCGGGAUAACAGCGGGAAACUGCUGCUAAUACCGGAUAAUCUUCAUGUUUAACUUCAUGGGGUAAAGGUGGCCUCUGCUUGCAAGCUACCACACCGAGAUGAGCCCGCGUCUCAUUAGCUAGUUGGUAGGGUAAUGGCCUACCAAGGCUACGAUGAGUAGCUGGUCUGAGAGGAUGACCAGCCACACUGGGACUGGAACACGGCCCAGACUCCUACGGGAGGCAGCAGUGGGGAAUAUUGCGCAAUGGGCGAAAGCCUGACGCAGCGACGCCUCGUGAGGGAUGAAAGGUCUUCGGAUCGUAAACCUCUGUCAUGAGGGAAGAAACCAUUGGAGUCGAACAGGCUUCUUUGCUGACGGUACCUCAAAAGGAAGCACCGGCUAACUCCGUGCCAGCCGCUGC